AUCCCUAUUACUUCAACCCCACGCUUCGAAAAAUCAUUAAUUUUAUUACUAAAUGAUAUUAUCUCAGUGGGACACACAAAAGUGAAAUCAAGUGGAUAAAAGAAAAGAACAGAAUACUUAUCUUCGAUAUACUUGCUUAAACGAAAAUCAUCAAUAAUGUCUCCAUUUGGAAGAACAGCAGGAGCUGUAAAAUCAAUGGCGGACUUUGUUAUAAGAUUCAUAAAUAACCUACUAAUUCUAGAAUUGCUCAUUGUAUAUUCUGAAUGAGCGACAUG